CAACUACCCCCUCUGUCCCAAAUUUCUUGUCUUAGAUUUGUCUAGAUACGGAUGUAUCUAAUACUAAAAUGUGACUUGAUACAUCCGUAUCUAGACAAAUCUAAGACAAGAAUUUUGGUAUGGAGGGAGUACUUU
rnacentral:pre_miRNA from 1 species